GAUGAACGCUGGCGGCGUGCUUAACACAUGCAAGUCGAACGAACAGGCCCUGCGUUUGUGGCGUGCUCGAGUGGGGCGCGCGGGAGAAACACGUGUGUAAACUGCCCCUGUAAGAGGGGGAACUCUUGGAGAAACGGGCUAAUACCGCGUAGGAGCUCCUGAACCAUAGGGGGGAAUGGAAAAAUUCGGCGGUUGGGGCUGGACUCGCGGCUUAUGCGCUUGUUGGUGGGGUUGUGGCUUUCAAGGGCUUUGACGGGUAGCCGGCCUGGGAGGGUUGCCGGCCACCUGGGUACUGAGAUACGGACCAGACUGCUACGGUAGGCAGCAGUGGGGAAUAUAGCAGAAUGGGCGGAAGCCUGAUGCGACGACGCCGCGUGCGUGAUGCCGUCUUUCUGGUGAUAAACCGCUGUCUCCGGUGACGAAGCGGUAGUGACGGUACUGGGUAAGGAAGCCCCGGCUAACUACGUG
rnacentral:rRNA from 1 species